UACAGAGGUCUCAAGCGUUGUUCGGAUUCAUUGGGCGUAAAGGGCGCGUAGGCUGCGGGGCAAGUCGGGUGUGAAAUCUCAAAGCUCAACUCUGAAACUGCACUCGAUACUGCUUUGCUCGAGGACUGGAGAGGAGAUUGGAAUUCACGGUGUAGCAGUGAAAUGCGUAGAUAUCGUGAGGAAGACCAGUGGCGAAGGCGGAUCUCUGGACAGUUCCUGACGCUGAGGCGCGAAGGCCAGGGGAGCAAACGGG
rnacentral:rRNA from 1 species